GCUCACUUCGGCAGUGCAUAUACUAAUAUCGGAAUGAUACCGAGAAGAUUAGCAUGGCCCCUAUGCAAGGAUGACAUGCAAAUUCAUGAAGCAUUCUGUGUUUUU